rnacentral:rRNA from 1 species
CCUACGGGUGGCAGCAGUGAGGAAUAGUGGUCAAUGGGCGCGAGCCUGAACCAGCCAAGUAGCGUGAAGGAUGACUGCCCUACGGGUUGUAAACUUCUUUUAUAAAGGAAUAAAGUGAGGCACGUGUGCCUUUUUGUAUGGACGUUAUGAAUAAGGAUCGGCUAACUCCGUGCCAGCAGCCGCGGUAAUACGGAGGAUCCGAGCGUUAUCCGGAUUUAUUGGGUUUAAAGGGAGCGUAGAUGGGUUGUUAAGUCAGUUGUGAAAGUUUGCGGCUCAACCGUAAAAUUGCAAUUGAUACUGGCAGCCUUUCGUACAGUUGAGGUAGGCGGAAUUCGUGGUGUAGCGGUGACCUGCUUCGCUCUCACGAAGACCUCCGAUUGCGACGGCAGCUUACUAAACUGCCCCUGACAUUGCUGCUCGACAGUGUGGGUAUCACACCGGAUUAGCUACCCGAGUAGUC